rnacentral:lncRNA from 1 species
GGGAGAAAACUUAGCAAAUGUCACAAAGGAGACUCCUAGUAACAAAAUCUGCGGGAGCCUUUUCUUUUAAAAUAAAGAUGGUGCAUCUGUCCCUUUACAGAUUUCUCUCCUGUCCCCUGGGACUGGGGAAGGUGAAUCUCCUGCCUGACACCCUGUAGAGAUUAGUGUAUCCAGCUGUUCUAUUCCCAUGAUUCCUCUGAAAACCAGACUGACUGGGAAUAGCAGUAGGGGUUUGGCCAGUGAGGGCAGGUGGCCAAAUGGUGUGCAGGAAACUCGCAUGUUUCCCUGGGUUGGCUUCCUGCUCCCCUGUCCCUGUCACCAAUAGCAGCUUCAAUAUGGGAGACGAUUAAAACAAAGGAGAAAAACAAAAAACCGUAUCCAAAUUAUAACCAACCAAGUCUAUGGAGGAAAUUCACAAGGCAGCAGAGCAGAGGCUGCAGAGGUGCUCUGUCUACCGGGAGAACUAAUGAUCCCUGUGAGCAAUGCAGGGUGCAAUGAGUCACAUGGGGAAAUGUGGACAGAGGCAGAAGGACAUCAAGGCCCCCACUGCACACCAAAUUAGAGUCAAUCCUCCUGUUCUCCCCACCCACUUCGCAAACUAAUGACGUCCGCGUUAUCCCAGAGGAGAGUGGCUAGGGACACUCAGUCCUUCCCAACAUGUGGACAUCUCCAAAUCUUGGUCAAAUCUGUCAGAUUUCUAACAGUUUCAAUACCUCAAUAUCACCUAAACUGAGAAAGAUUAUUAGCCCGUGAUGGUGGGACCCUUAUUGACGAAGGCCUGCCCCCUCCUCACAGUAGGGUAGACUCCUGGGUUCCCGAUGGUUCAAGAGCCUGGGCUGUCAUUUGUCUACCUGGGGUUUGCAGCAGCCCUAGUACAAGAAGAUUCAUUCGUACUGUUUACUUUGGCAGCCUCUUCACACAACUUUCCUCUCUAACACGUGUUAAUUGUCAGAGUGUUCACCUCACCUCCUUACUUCCCAGCUUCUCCAAAGUCA